UACAGAGGGUGCGAGCGUUAAUCGGAAUUACUGGGCGUAAAGAGUGUGUAGGCGGUGCUCCCAGUCUGUUGUGAAAUCUCCCGGCUUAACUGGGAGGGUGCAGCGGAAACUAGAGUGCUAGAGGGUGGGAGAGGUAAGCGGAAUUCCUGGUGUAGCGGUGAAAUGCGUAGAUAUCAGGAGGAACACCUGUGGUGUAGACAGCUUACUGGACCACUUCUGACGCUGAGACACGAAAGCGUGGGUAGCAAACAGG
rnacentral:rRNA from 1 species